CCGUGACUUCAUCGAGCCCAUAAAUCCCUUGGGGCGUCUGUCUGGGAUCUGCCAGGCUCAUCAGUGUAGGAGAGGAGAAGGCUAACUGGGAGUCCGAACUGGCUGUAAAUCUGACCAGGGAGGGGAAACCUGCAGUGGCCACACUUCCACUGCAGCCCACUCUUGGAAUGGACUUCCGCAGAUUCCUGGCCAAACUAGCUAAAUGGUCUUGUGUUUACUAUGAAGAAAUAUUUCUACCAUGGAAUAUUUCCAGGAUUCCACAACAGGCUUAAGAGAAGCAUUGGCACCGGAGUUAUGCGGACCACCAGUAUUCAGUGUGGAAAAAUUAGAUGAUUUCUUAGAACAUUGUAUCAUCUUCUUGGCUUAAGGUUUUGUAUUCACUCUCCAUUUACAAUGUGUGAUGUGUUCACAUUGUCAGUUGAAUUUUUAAAUGUUAAGUA